UACGUAGGGUGCAAGCGUUAUCCGGAAUUAUUGGGCGUAAAGAGCUCGUAGGCGGUUUGUCGCGUCUGCUGUGAAAACCCGAGGCUCAACCUCGGGCCUGCAGUGGGUACGGGCAGACUAGAGUGCGGUAGGGGAGAUUGGAAUCCUGGUGUAGCGGUGGAAUGCGCAGAUAUCAGGAGGAACACCGAUGGCGAAGGGCAGAUCUCUGGGCCGUAACUGACGCUGAGGCAGCGAAAGCGUGGGGAGCGAACAGG
rnacentral:rRNA from 1 species